rnacentral:misc_RNA from 1 species
UUUCCGUAGGUGAACCUGCGGAAGGAUCAUUAGAGAUUUUCGGUCGUCGUGCGCUCUGCGUGCGCGGCCCUCUAUACAUCAUAAACAUUCGUGAAUUGUACCUUUUUAACAAACGCGUACCCCACGUCGAGUCGCAUGACGGAUAUACAAAGAAAGUAACAACUUUCAGCAACGGAUCUCUUGGCUCUCGCAUCGAUGAAGAACGCAGC